rnacentral:misc_RNA from 1 species
GAUGAAGAACGUAGCGAAAUGCGAUACGUAAUGUGAAUUGCAGAAUUCAGUGAAUCAUCGAAUCUUUGAACGCAUAUUGCGCUCUCUGGUAUUCCGGAGAGCAUGCUUGUUUGAGUAUCAGUAAACACCUCAACUCCCCUUUCUUUUUUUGAAAUGGGAGCUGGACUUGAGUGAUCCCAACGCUUUUCUCACCGAAAAGUGGCGGGUUACUUGAAAUGCAGGUGCAGCUGGACUUUUCUCUGAGCUAAAAGCAUAUCUAUUUAGUCUGCCUAAAAAACAGAUUAUUACCUUUGCUGCAGCUAACAUAAAGGAGAUUAGUUCUUGUGCUGACUGAUGCAGGAUUCACAGAGACAGCUUCGGCUGGCCUUUGUAAACUCGAUCUCAAAUCAAGUAAGACUACCCGCUGAACUUAUGCAUAUCAAUAAGCGGAGGA